rnacentral:lncRNA from 1 species
AUUUCAUUUCUUGAUGGCCACAAUAUCUAGCUGAUACUUCUCUAUUUCUUUUAAUACAUUGUUCAUUGCUCCAGGUCAGAAAAGACUUCUUACAUUCCAUAAUUCUACUUGUAGCUGUUUAGAAUAUACCUUGGAUCAUUCAUUCAGAAUAGAAAAAAGAAUAAUCCAGAAAGAAUAGAAAAUUCCUUUGUUUUGUGAAUGCUUCUUAAUAGGUCUGUUUUUUUACAAGAAGAGGAUGCCUCUUGCUCAACCCCCCAUACUUGGAAGACCAGGAUAUGUUUCUUCAUCUGGCUUGACCUGUCCAGCCUGGAAGGCCCUACCAGUAACAAGCUAUUGUCAUUAUAGCUCUCAGGGUUAUCAGAGCACAUGUCUCCCACCACAACAAGAUGUAGACACCAUUGAUGAGGAUGAAAUUUUUUUCACUAGGAUCAGUUAUGUCUGAGACAAAUGAUAUAAAUAUUCCAUGUGAUAUUUUGAAACAACAUAAAUCAGAGAAUGAUUGUAUAUACAGUUCAUUCUUUACUAUAAUCAUUAAUAUUGGAUGAAAUAAAAUUGUCAUUGCACUGAAUUUUGCAAUGAUAAAUUUAAAGCAUGUGAGCCAUAAUACUUUGAUGAGACAUGGAAUAAUGCAGUUUUUCCUGCAAUAUGAUGCAAAAAUAUAUAAUUAAUAUAUAAAACAAUUUUAUAAUGGAC